AUUGAACGCUGGCGGCAUGCCUUACACAUGCAAGUCGAACGGCAGCACGGGUGCUUGCACCUGGUGGCGAGUGGCGAACGGGUGAGUAAUACAUCGGGACGUACCUUAUCGUGGGGGAUAACGCAGCGAAAGCUGUGCUAAUACCGCAUACGCCCUGAGGGGGAAAGCGGGGGAUCGAAAGACCUCGCGCGAUUAGAGCGGCCGAUGCCUGAUUAGCUUGUUGGUGGGGUAAAAGCCCACCAAGGCGACGAUCAGUAGCUGGUCUGAGAGGACGAUCAGCCACACUGGGACUGAGACACGGCCCAGACUCCUACGGGAGGCAGCAGUGGGGAAUUUUGGACAAUGGGGGCAACCCUGAUCCAGCAAUGCCGCGUGAGUGAAGAAGGCCUUCGGGUUGUAAAGCUCUUUUGUCAGGGAAGAAACACCGGCUCUAACACAGUCCGGGAAUGACGGUACCUGGAGAAUAAGCACCGGCUAACUACGUGCCAGCCGCCGCGGUAA
rnacentral:rRNA from 1 species